UUAAAGUUUACCGUUCUGUUUAAAUAUACUAGAUAUAAAUUCUAAUUUGCAAACAUAUGGAUUCAUUUUAGUGAAAAUUGGUUUUAACAUGGAAUUAUUAAUGUACGCUUGGAGUGUAUUUUACUGCAUAAACGCAGUAACCUCAGCAGAUAUUGUAUCAUUUGAAGCAAACACGACGUUUGUAGGAGAUGGCAGCGCAGCACUUCUGAGGUGUAUAUCUCACGAACAGACAUGGGGUGUAAAUUUCAUUAAGGACAAUAUCACCUUUGGAUCAUGAACUAUUUUUGAAUGCCAAGUUAUUAGUACUGCAGAUUUCAUUACAUCACAGAACACUCGUAGCGAUGGUUUCAACGAACACUUUCUGACCAUAAAACAUUUCUCAAACACAUUGGCUUGAACCUACACCUGUAAAUCGUCAGAAACUAGCGAUUCUAAAAUGGUUAAUCUAACAUUUGCAGAGGAUGAAUUGAAGCAGUUAAGGUCAGACUUGAAAAAAGUCAAACAGAAAGGCUUAUGCUGAAGGUUCAAGGAAAGAUUUAAAAAUUCAGUUUGAAUCUUUUUUGUUGUUUUGUACAUUAUUUUGUUUUUAUAUAUUUGCCAGUCUCAACAGAAACAUUACAGCUGUAUGCUCAGUUUUUGUGGUGUUAAAUAAAUGCAUCUCUUGCUAGGUUUCGAGGUUAAUCGCAUUAAUAUGUAUUUGUUCAAUUUAUCAUUAAAAGGAUUAACAAGGGACAAAUUACAAGUUAAAAAUGCUGAACCAAUAUCACCGGCAAUUCUCGUUAAGAUUUUUGAACUUUUAAAUAUGGGAGAUAUAUAUGAUAUGGUAUUUUGGUGUUAAUGUGUGUUUGCCUUUUUUCUGUUAGCACUAAAAUCAAAUUUGGUUCCUACAAGUAGAAAGGAUUUGAAAGAUCCAAAAAUUUUGUUAUCAAGGGAUGUAGUGAUCACCGAGUAUGGUUUACUUGUACAUUUUAAAUGGUCAAAGACAAUACAAUAUGGUCAAAGGGUCCUAGUUAUUCCCCUAAUUGCUAUUCCAAAUUCAUGUUUAUGUCCUGUUAGAGCUUAUAAGAACAUGAUAGGGAAUAUUGAUAGAAAACCAGGGAAUCUUUUGUUUUUAUUUGCUUCUGGGAAGCCCUUGUUCAAAUCAUUUGGAAGGAAAGAUUAGCGAAUACAUGUCGCUUUUAUUUUUAAUAAUGUUUUCCUUAUUUGUUCCCAGUUUUAGUACAAUGAUGCUUUUUAUUAUGAAACUCUAUGAUCACACAGUUUUAAACCUUUAAUUUUAUAAGGCAGACUGUGUGGGAUGUUUAUAGUUUCUAAUAAUGACUGCAUCGUAUCUUUGAAAAGUUUUUGCCUUAGGUUCUCUGAAUUGUAUCCCUCCGUCUGCAGAUAGAGUUGGGAUCUCUAAUCAUAGAAGUACUUGGGGUUUACCUAUACGUUUAGUAUUAUUUGUUUUAUUGAUAAGUUUCCUCAAGUUAAUGCAUACUUUGAUAAUAUUUACCUUUUGCGUUUUAUCUUUGUUAAGGAUUGUUGGGAUAAGAGUGAGGUUUGUGCACAUAAACUGGUUUAAACCCCCAAUAAAUUUACAUUUUACUGACCGUUCCAAGGCGGUACCUAACAA